rfam:Danio rerio chromosome 4, GRCz11 reference primary assembly.
GCAUUGGUGGUUCAGUGGUAGAAGUCUCGCCUGCCACGCGGGAGACCCGAGUCCGAUUCCCUGCCAAUGCA